CAAUAGCGUAUAUUAAAGGUGUUGCAGUUAAAAAGCUCGUAGUUGGAUUUCUGGUGGGAGCGAUCGGUCUGGCGCUUAGCGCGAGUACUUGCAUCGUCUCCGGCCAUCCUUGGGGAGAGUCUGUCUGGCAUUAGGUUGUCGGGCAGAGGAUCCUCAUCGUUUACUGUGAAAAAAUUAGAGUGUUCAAAGCAGGCUUAUGCCGUUGAAUAUAUUAGCAUGGAAUAAUAAGAUAGGACUUUGGUACUAUUUUGUUGGUUUGCGCACCAAAGUAAUGAUUAAUAGGGACAGUUGGGGGUAUUCGUAUUCCGUUGUCAGAGGUGAAAUUCUUGGAUUUACGGAAGACGAACUACUGCGAAAGCAUUUACCAAGGAUGUUUUCAUUAA
rnacentral:rRNA from 1 species